rnacentral:snRNA from 1 species
AUCACUUUUCAGCCUUUUGGCUAAGAUUAAGUGUAGUAUCUGUCCUUAUCAGUUUAAUACACAAGCAUAAGACAGUAAGGGGUUUACAUUAUGUUGAGCCAUCAGUUGCUCAUCUAGAGGAAAACUCCAU